UUGGUGAUCCAGACGGUCGCCCGACGAAGCCUUGCGCGAAGUUGGGAGGAAAGUCCGGGCUCCAUAGAGCAGGAGGGUUGCUAACGGCAACCGGGUGCGGGCCAAACCCGCAUCCAGGGACAGUGGCACAGAAAACAAACCGCCCGGCUUGCCUGCCUGGUUGCGACGAGGGCCCGAAACUCGCGCGGCUGGACGGGGUCUGAAAAGACCCGGGUAAGGGUGAAAAGGUGCGGUAAAAGCGCACCGCGGCGCUGGAGACAGUGCCGGCAGGCCAAACCCCCUCCGGAGCAAGGCCAAAUAGGGACCAAGAGGCUGCUCGCCUCAAUGCGAAUGUGUCGCGGGAGGUCCGGGUAGGCUGCUGGAGGCUUGUGGCAACGCAGGCCCUAGACGAAUGACCGUCAGCCGCAAGGCCGACAAAACCCGGCUUACAGGAUCAGCAAGACG
rnacentral:RNase_P_RNA from 1 species